rnacentral:rRNA from 1 species
CAAAAACAUCGCCUCCCGCAAAAAUCAAUGUAUAGGAGGUCCUGCCUGCCCAGUGACUAUGUUAAACGGCCGCGGUAUUUUGACCGUGCAAAGGUAGCGCAAUCACUUGUCUUUUAAAUGAAGACCUGUAUGAAUGGUGGAACGAGGGCCUAACUGUCUCCCUUUUCAAGUCAAUGAAAUUGAUCUGCCCGUGCAGAAGCGGGUAUGCAAAUACAAGACGAGAAGACCCUUUGGAGCUUAAGAUUAAAAAUCAACUAUGUCAAAUAUUUAUCAAAUAGAACCAAAUAGUAACUGAUCAUAAUCUUCGGUUGGGGCGACCACGGAAUAAAAAUAAACUUCCACAUGGACUGAGGACUAACCUUAAAACCAAGAAAGACAUUUCUAAGUCACAGAAUUUCUGACCACACAGAUCCGGCAAAAUGCCGAUCAAUGGACCAAGUUACCCUAGGGAUAACAGCGCAAUCCCCUUUUAGAGUUCCUAUCGACAAGGGGGUUUACGACCUCGAUGUUGGAUCAGGACAUCCUAAUGGUGCAGCCGCUAUUAAGGGUUC